rnacentral:rRNA from 1 species
AUUGAACGCUGGCGGCAUGCCUUACACAUGCAAGUCGAACGGUAACAGGUCUUCGGACGCUGACGAGUGGCGAACGGGUGAGUAAUACAUCGGAACGUGCCCAGUCGUGGGGGAUAACUACUCGAAAGAGUAGCUAAUACCGCAUACGAUCUGAGGAUGAAAGCGGGGGACCUUCGGGCCUCGCGCGAUUGGAGCGGCCGAUGGCAGAUUAGGUAGUUGGUGGGAUAAAAGCUUACCAAGCCGACGAUCUGUAGCUGGUCUGAGAGGACGACCAGCCACACUGGGACUGAGACACGGCCCAGACUCCUACGGGAGGCAGCAGUGGGGAAUUUUGGACAAUGGGCGAAAGCCUGAUCCAGCAAUGCCGCGUGCAGGAUGAAGGCCUUCGGGUUGUAAACUGCUUUUGUACGGAACGAAAAAGCUUCUCCUAAUACGAGAGGCCCAUGACGGUACCGUAAGAAUAAGCACCGGCUAACUACGUGCCAGCAGCCGCGGUAAUACGUAGGGUGCGAGCGUUAAUCGGAAUUACUGGGCGUAAAGCGUGCGCAGGCGGUUAUGUAAGACAGAUGUGAAAUCCCCGGGCUCAACCUGGGAACUGCAUUUGUGACUGCAUGGCUAGAGUACGGUAGAGGGGGAUGGAAUUCCGCGUGUAGCACUGAAAUGCGUA